rnacentral:lncRNA from 1 species
CUAAUCAACACUCCCCCUCAAGUUGGUGCAAAGAUGUCGCACAUGCCCAACUUGCAAACCAAAGUGUGAAGAGUCUUUUUGCUAAGACCUUUUGUGAGCACAUCUGCUAGCUGCUUUUCUGACGAUACAUGAAGCAAACUCAAGGUACCACCAACAAUCUUUUCUUUGAUGAAAUGUCGAUCGUAGCUGCUUUUCUGACGAUACAUGAAGCAAACUCAAGGUACCACCAACAAUCUUUUCUUUGAUGAAAUAUCGAUCGAUUUCAACAUGUGUUGUUCUAUCAUG